UAUAAGUUUCCAUUAAGGAGGUUUGGUCAGGACUGGACUCAGCACUGGCACAGAGGCAGCACAGCUAUGUGGGAAGAACACAGGCUGGUCUGCAGGUGUCUAGAUUUGGAUCCUAGCUCUGUUACUUACUACUUUGUGACUUUGAGCAAAUUCACGUCUCUGAAAGGAAACUGAGAUUCAGUGAGACAAGGACAUUUGUUCAAAUAAAUCUCGUAACUCUGAAGAGGCCUGGAUCUGAGAAGAAUGGGUGCCAGGUAGUCUGACUGGGCUAGUUUUGCCCCAUCAUGGCCCUGUGACAUCCGUUCUGCCUCCCAGCUAGACUGGACUCCCCCAGACCAGGAACUGUGUCCUGGCUCUUCCUAGCACCCAGCUCAGGGAGGGCUAUCAAGGCUGCUGAAAGCAGAUAAGGGAAACUGAGGUACAGAGGAGGGGAAGAGCCAUGAUUGACUUCAUGCAACUCAUCAGGGAGGGCACCCAGAUUUACACGUGGAUCUGUGUCACUACAAAGCAGUGCCCUUGACUUAACACUCCAUCACUUUCCAUACAAGCUUCAAACUGAACUCCACCUUCAUUAGCUUGGUGAGCGCAGACCGCUGAACUCUUCUAACAUCUGUCUUAGAGGUUAUGUGUUGGCUGCUGCGUUCAGAGCUAUCCUAAAAGUAACUGAAACAAGGGAUUUUUGACUCCAUGGCUAAACAGUUUCUGGGGAGCAGACCUUGAUUCUACCAUUACUUAGAAAACAAAUCAAAUUAGAGUCAGACUAGUGAUGUUGUCAGAACUUUUCAAACAUAAAGACCCAUGAAUGGACAUGUACACUUGGGAUCAAAAGCACUCUCCUCUUCCAAACAGCAGUCUACACUUGGCCUUUUGAGAGGCUGAGCUAUUGCCAAGGACUAUUUAGAUGGAAGAUUUGAUUGUUGGUCAAGGAGACACUGAAGAAGAGAUAAGAUGGUGUACUGGAAUGGAAGGAAGGCUCUGGACAUCAGAACUUUGGGCCACUGUACUGCUGUGUAAAUUUGCGAAACCUACUUAAUCCUUAUGGACUGUUUCCUCAUCUGGAAAAUGAGUUAAAUGAGAUCCAUUUUAUAAAAUUGUUGUAAUGAUUAUAUAAGUAAACACAUAGUAAUAUUAUUUGAUUUUAUUAUUAUUAUUAUGACUUGUCACUCAAAGCAUUUAGCUUUGGUGUCUCUAAUAUUCAGUACUCACAUUUAUGUUCAAAUUUGGAUGCUAGGUAGAAAUGAAGACUUUGUAUCUGCCACCAGAGAAGGCUAUUUAUUAUUUGUCAUUGCCUGUCACGAACUCACAAAGAUAGUAUUUGCCUAUCCAAAGGUAUCUAAUUCCUCAGUUUCUUAUGUGACUAUAAAGGGGCCUACUUUGAUCUUACCAUGAACUCAAAUCCUUUCGAAAUUUCAAUUUGUC
rnacentral:lncRNA from 10 species